rnacentral:rRNA from 1 species
UCGCGGCCUAUCAGCUUGUUGGUGAGGUAAUGGCUCACCAAGGCGACGACGGGUAGCCGGCCUGAGAGGGUGACCGGCCACACUGGGACUGAGACACGGUCCAGACUCCUACGGGAGGCAGCAGUGGGGAAUAUUGCACAAUGGGCGCAAGCCUGAUGCAGCAACGCCGCGUGAGGGAUGAAGGCCUUCGGGUUGUAAACCUCUUUUAGCAGGGAAGAAGCGAAAGUGACGGUACCUGCAGAAAAAGCACCGGCUAACUACGUGCCAGCAGCCGCGGUAAUACGUAGGGUGCAAGCGUUGUCCGGAAUUAUUGGGCGUAAAGAGCUCGUAGGCGGUUUGUCGCGUCUGCUGUGAAAACUGGAAGCUCAACUUCCAGCCUGCAGUGGGUACGGGCAGACUAGAGUGCGGUAGGGGAGAACGGAAUUCCUGGUGUAGCGGUGGAAUGCGCAGAUAUCAGGAGGAACACCGAUGGCGAAGGCAGUUCUCUGGGCCGUUACUGACGCUGAGGAGCGAAAGCGUGGGGAGCGAACAGGAUUAGAUACCCUGGUAGUCCACGCCGUAAACGGUGGGUGCUAGCUGUGGGCCACAUUCCACGUGGUCCGUGACGAAGUUAACACAUUAAGCACCCCGCCUGGGGAGUACGG